AAAAGCGACAGAAACUAAGAAAUUUAUCCUUGCAAAUCAGUUAUUUUAUUUUUAAAUUAUAAAUAUCUCUUUUAUUUCUAAAUCCUUUUUUUCAAGAAGUUAUAUCAAUGUUGCUUAUUCAUUAUCAAUGUCUCCCUGUACUCAUUAGGUCGUGGCAUGGGUCUCUAAGGCAGGACAGUGGAUGAAGUCUGCCCCGGCCCCACAUCGGCCUUUCAUUGCGAUACAAGUCUUUCUGACUGGUUCCCAGCACCGGAAAUGGAGUUGCAGCCCUUACUGCCAUCACGAGCAUCCAGCACUGGUACCGCCAUAGUGGCUUGCUCUAGAUCUGUUUUUUUUAAUUAAAAAACAUUUUUUAAAAUAUUCUAAGGUGUUUGUUAAUUUGCUUGGCUCAUAUUCAAGAAAUAUAACAAAAGCAACUUUCUUGCAGAAACUAAGAAAUUUAUCCUUGCAAAUCAGUUAUUUUAUUUUUGAAUUAUAAAUGUCUCUUUUAUUUCUAAAUAAUUUCUUUUCUAGAAGUUAUAUCAAUGUUGCUUGUUCAAUAUCAAUGCCUCCCUGUAUAUCAUCAGGUCGUGAAAAUGAUCCCGAAGGCAGGACAGUGAACAUACGAUUGCCAUCCGAUAGGCCCAAAGCGCCACCCGAUAGGCCCAAAGCGACACCCAGAAGUGGU
rnacentral:lncRNA from 1 species